AUUGAACGCUGGCGGCAUGCCUUACACAUGCAAGUCGAACGGUAACGCGGGGCAACCUGGCGACGAGUGGCGAACGGGUGAGUAAUGUAUCGGAACGUGCCCAGUUGUGGGGGAUAACUGCUCGAAAGAGCAGCUAAUACCGCAUACGACCUGAGGGUGAAAGCGGGGGAUCGCAAGACCUCGCGCAAUUGGAGCGGCCGAUAUCAGAUUAGGUAGUUGGUGGGGUAAAGGCUCACCAAGCCAACGAUCUGUAGCUGGUCUGAGAGGACGACCAGCCAAACUGGGACUGAGACACGGCCCAGACUCCUACGGGAGGCAGCAGUGGGGAAUUUUGGACAAUGGACGCAAGUCUGAUCCAGCCAUGCCGCGUGCGGGAAGAAGGCCUUCGGGUUGUAAACCGCUUUUGUCAGGGAAGAAACGCUCUGGGUUAAUACCUCGGGGUAAUGACGGUACCUGAAGAGUAAGCACCGGCUAACUACGUGCCAGCAGCCGCAGUAAAAC
rnacentral:rRNA from 1 species